rnacentral:lncRNA from 1 species
GCCAGUGUCACUUGAAGAGCCAUAUAAUGAAUUUGAAUAUAAAACACAUUAUCCCUUCUCAAAAAUGUGCUAACACCAGCUAAUUGCGAUUGUAAACAAGUUUUAUUUUCCGUUAAGGAAAGUAUUUUUAUUUAAAAAACUCAUAAUAUGCUAUUAAUUUUGGUAAUAAUUUAUUUGAACUUUUUAAAAAUUAUGAAUAAGAUAAGGCUACAAUUCAUUUAAUGCUUUACUAAUUAUCGUUUCUCAAUUAUUAUUUACAAAGUCCCAUUAUUAAAUACGAUUCAGAGUUUUUCUUCAAGGGGUUUUAAGUAAUAAAAAAGUGUGAUAGCUGCUUUUUAAAAAAUGAUAAUAAUUUGUAUUUGUUUCGAAUAUUUUAGUGAAACAUAUUAUUUUUAUUCGUAAGACUUCUAAUGAUUAUACAGAUCAAAGUCCAGAAAUGCCUAGAUAAUAGAAUCUCUCUAAAGUGAUAAUACUACGUCGUUCUCAAAGACAUAUUUUACUUUAGGACUUGAACGUUGAAAACGAGCGUGUGUAUUUUACAAGAAUUAUGUGCUAUUCAUUUUCUAAUUUGUAGUUAAUUAUAUAAUUUAAAUUUUAAUCGUUAAUGAUAAAUGUCUACCUAUUUUAUUCAUUAAUUAUUGUCAUUAUUCACUGUUCAUAAACCACACUUUUGUUUGAAUUAAAAAUAUUCAAAUAUGCUGAUAUUAUUCGCUUAGAAUAACACAAACAAUAUUAUAUUAAUAUUAUAUAUACAAACCUUCUGAGCAGGGUUUUUAUAGAUAAGUUUUUGUGGACAAAUAAUAAUUAAUAAAUAGAAAAGAGCAACUCCAAGAAAUUAGGCAUAUAUUGUAGUAUCAGCUACAUAGAAAGGCAUUAAUUAAAUUAGUAUAAAUAUGGUUAUUACUAAAUAAUAUUUAUUGUCUAUCCAGAGAUACAACAAAUAAGUAUAAUAUUGUCAUAGCAUGUUUCAGUUAUUUUCUCCAACGACUAAUAUUUUCAUCUAGAACAAGUGUAUAUCUUUAUUUUUGGAGUUUGGGUAUCCGUUGUUAUUGAUAAGGUCUUCGUUUAUUUUGUGAUGAUUUUUUUAAUACUUCUAAUAUAAUGUAGUAUUGAAUAUAAAAAAUAUCCUUAUGAAUUUGUACAAAUAGUGAUUCAAGCCCUGCCCAAUAUUGUCAUCAACGACACUGUUAAAGAUGUAUUUUACAUUUCAGAAUAUAUAUAGUCAAGGUCUAGUAUCUAAGUCACAAAAUGUUAAGAAUAUUAUAAACUACUACCAAUUUUUUAUUUAUCGAAUGAUGCGCGCAAGUUGAUAGUGCUCAACUAUUUAGAAGAAAUUUGAUAACACAUAAACAAUAAAGGUUGAUUAGUUUCACUUUCUAACAUAAAUAAUCCAUCUUGUGUCUUACGAACACUAUUGGAACCUCAAAUAUUGAGAGAUAAGCUCAAGUGAAGUCUCUAAAGUAAAGUCCAAUAUAAUAAGAGUCCAAGUCAAGUCAAGAGUUUUUGGAUACUUGAGUUAUCCAAAUCAAGUCCACAUGGAGUUCGAAGUCACAAUUUAAUAAGAGUUAACUACAACCUUUGUCAAAGUCUCCAAUUCUUAUUAACUGGGACUAUAUAA